rnacentral:tRNA from 1 species
GGGCCUAUAGCUCAGCUGGCUAGAGCGCGCGCCUGAUAAGCGCGAGGUCGGUGGUUCAAGUCCACCUAGGCCCACCACUU